ensembl:snRNA U6 U6 spliceosomal RNA
AUCCUUGGUUGGACAACAUAUACCUAAGUUGAGACCAUACAGAGAUUAGCCUGGCCCCUGUGAAAGCAUGACACAUAAGCCAGUAGCCAUGCUUAUAACCUUG